AAAUUGAAGAGUUUGAUCAUGGCUCAGAUUGAACGCUGGCGGCAGGCCUAACACAUGCAAGUCGAACGGUAGCACAGAGAGCUUGCUCUCGGGUGACGAGUGGCGGACGGGUGAGUAAUGUCUGGGAAACUGCCUGAUGGAGGGGGAUAACUACUGGAAACGGUAGCUAAUACCGCAUAACGUCGCAAGACCAAAGAGGGGGACCUUCGGGCCUCUUGCCAUCAGAUGUGCCCAGAUGGGAUUAGCUAGUAGGUGGGGUAACGGCUCACCUAGGCGACGAUCCCUAGCUGGUCUGAGAGGAUGACCAGCCACACUGGAACUGAGACACGGUCCAGACUCCUACGGGAGGCAGCAGUGGGGAAUAUUGCACAAUGGGCGCAAGCCUGAUGCAGCCAUGCCGCGUGUAUGAAGAAGGCCUUCGGGUUGUAAAGUACUUUCAGCGGGGAGGAAGGUGUUGYGGUUAAUAACCGCAGCAAUUGACGUUACCCGCAGAAGAAGCACCGGCUAACUCCGUGCCAGCAGCCGCGGUAAUACGGAGGGUGCAAGCGUUAAUCGGAAUUACUGGGCGUAAAGCGCACGCAGGCGGUCUGUCAAGUCGGAUGUGAAAUCCCCGGGCUCAACCUGGGAACUGCAUUCGAAACUGGCAGGCUAGAGUCUUGUAGAGGGGGGUAGAAUUCCAGGUGUAGCGGUGAAAUGCGUAGAGAUCUGGAGGAAUACCGGUGGCGAAGGCGGCCCCCUGGACAAAGACUGACGCUCAGGUGCGAAAGCGUGGGGAGCAAACAGGAUUAGAUACCCUGGUAGUCCACGCCGUAAACGAUGUCGACUUGGAGGUUGUGCCCUUGAGGYGUGGCUUCCGGAGCUAACGCGUUAAGUCGACCGCCUGGGGAGUACGGCCGCAAGGUUAAAACUCAAAUGAAUUGACGGGGGCCCGCACAAGCGGUGGAGCAUGUGGUUGCGUCGUAGUCCGGAUUGGAGUCUGCAACUCGACUCCAUGAAGUCGGAAUCGCUAGUAAUCGUAGAUCAGAAUGCUACGGUGAAUACGUUCCCGGGCCUUGUACACACCGCCCGUCACACCAUGGGAGUGGGUUGCAAAAGAAGUAGGUAGCUUAACCUUCGGGAGGGCGCUUACCACUUUGUGAUUCAUGACUGGGGUGAAGUCGUAACAAGGUAACCGUAGGGGAACCUGCGGUUGGAUCACCUCCUUA
rnacentral:rRNA from 1 species